rnacentral:lncRNA from 1 species
ACUUAUUCAAACCUGUUAUCAACAAUAUUAAAAAUUAAGCGGAAUAAAUAAGUUUAGCGGAAGACUUAACAAAUUUUACUAGAUGCAAUACUGAAAUUCCAACAUAAAACACUACCCAAGAACUGGUUUCACAAUACUCACGAACUUCUAAGAAUACACAUAACCGUCUGAAAGAAAUAAAAUAAUUUUUGUCUCGAAUAUAUGAGAUAACAUACUGAAAAUAAAGAUAGAGGAUACGCCGGGUCCUGAAGACGCCUGCAAGGCGACCUCGGUGUCUCGAUGAUCAAAUGCUAACACCCGCACUACUGCUGGUGCUGCUCUCCAAAACCUGAACUUGCGCAAAAAGAGCGCAGAGUGUAGUAUCAACACGACCGACCCCAUGUGCUGAUAAGUGCCCGGCCUAUCUCGGCGAAGUAGUGACAAGGAUAGACCAGACACUGACAUAAACCAGUACAGUUCAAAUAUAUAUACAACAAAAAGAACAGGAAGCAUACAUUAAAUAUUUGGGAAGGGAAAACAAUGCUCUAGGGUAGCGACAAAAUGUAAUACAGGUGCAGAAUAAAUGAACUUCAAUUAAUGAGGACGGGUAAAUCAAAAUCUGCACGGCAUCAACCAUCUUCCUUUUACUCUCGUUCUUACCAAAUAAUCAUAUAAGAUGUACAACAUCACUCGUCGUACUUUUACUCUCGUUCUCACCAAAUAAUCAAUUAAGAUGUACGACAUCACCCAUGGUACUUUUACUCUCACACUCUCAUAUCGAGACACGGAAAGACCCAUCAUGCAUAAUCACUCUUCCUUGUCACCGGCAACUAUGGCCAAUAACAAUAAUCAUUGUAAUAUAUAUAUAUAUCAAAACACGAAAAGACUCGCAUUUCAUUAUCAACUCAGUUCACAAUAUGUCACCGACAACUAUGGCAAAUAACAAUAAUCAAUAUCUAUUAAUGAUGCGGCGUGCAUCUCGACCCUUCCGAUAUGUCACCGGCAACUAUGGCCAAUAACCGUAAUCAAUGCAAUAUAUUACCGACAGAAAACCAAUAAUCUUUUAAAUCCUCAAGGCAUGGAAAGACCCAUCGUGCAUAAUCACUCUUCUUUGUCACCGGCAACUAUGGCCAAUAACAAUAAUCAUUAUAUAUUUUACCAGCAGAAAACCAAUAAUAAUUAAUCAACUAUAUUAUAUAUAUAUAUAUAUACACACAUAUAUAUUACCGGUAUGAAAUCAAUAAUUUUUUAUUUCAACAAUAUCAAUAUUACCGGUAGGAAACCAAUAAUCUUUUAAAUAAACAAUAUAAAUAUUACCGGUAUGAAACCAAUAAUAAUAAUUGCUUUCAUAUAACCUUAUAAGAUUCUUAAAAUUUUAUCAAUUUAAGACUCACAGUGAUGCUCGACCCCCGACGUAUAGAUACUCGUCACCAUGCAUAUACGUCGGACUCCACACAUAGCAAUUAGCUUAUAGACUCAACUCUUAUUCCCUCAAGCUAUGAUAGAUCAAACACUUACCUUGAAGGUUUACCGCAAAUUCAAUCCUUAAGUGAUGCCCUUUCUUUUCGAAUUUGUCUCCUAUUUCAUUAUAUCUAUACAAAAUUGAUUUAAUAUCAUCAAUACUACUUAACCAAAUUAUCCAAAUGGCUGAAUAUAUAUUUUACAACUUUCUGCCCGGAAUAGUAAAAAUCGACCGCGGGCCCACAUGGUCAAAACACGAGGUUCAAAAAGAUUUCCGACAAUCCAUUCAUCCACGAGUCAAAAUAUACAAUUUGUUCUUAAGAUCGACCCUAAAACAAGGUCUAAAUCACAAUUUAUUUGAAAACCCUAACUAAACCCAUAUCUCUAAUUUUCUACCUAUUUUCACAUGUUUAGGCCUUAGAAUUUGAUUUAUGUUGAAGAGAAAUGAAGAAAAUAAGUUCAACAAUACUUACCUAAGAGGUUUGAUGAAGAAUCGCCCAAGAAUCGCCCAAAAAUGGUGUUGAAGAAGAGAGAGUUUUGAGAAAUGGGAUUUAAUCCCGUUCUGUUCUGUUUUUCAGAACUUAAAAUCAUUGGGUGGAACUUUAUUCAUCGCGUUUGCAACAUAGGCUCGCGUUUGCGAAGGUUUGAGGUUUUCUGGGCAUCGCGUUCGCGAUGUACGUAUGGGAACGCGUAGAGGAAAAUGGGAGCGGUUUACAACUGGCCUACGCGAACGCGUAGGGAAAAGGGCAGGGGUCUUGUGCGGCUUAUAUGCGAACGCAAAGGACAUCCAAGUCUGCGAAGAGAGGGGGUGUCACUGGGCAUCACGAACGCGAGGGGCGUCCGCGAACACGAAGAAGAGGCUGGGCAUCGCAAACGCGAGGUAUGUCCGCAUUAGCGAAGAAGGAAAUGUCUGUGCAAAAAUUGCGGCAAAUUUGCCAAUUUCCCAAGUCCAAAAACACCCCGAACCACCUCCAAAACGCUCAAGAGCCCUUGGGGCUCCAAACCAAAUAUGCACACUAACUCAAUAACAUCAUACGAACUUGCUCGAUCGAUUAAAUCGCCAAAAUAACAUUAAAAUCCAAGAAUUUAGCGUUAAAUCCCAAGAAAUCUUUCAAUUUUUCAUAAACAUUCAAAUUUCCAAUUUAAGGCCGAAAUAUGUCAAACGACGUCCGUUUUUAACAAAGCUUUACAGCAAGCGCUUAAACAACAUAUAUGACCUGUACCGGGCGUCAGAACCAAAAUACUAGCCCGAUACCAUUACUUUCAGAUCAAAUUUCAUUCUCAUUUCCUUAAGCAUUUUUUGUACACAAAUUUCACGGAAAAAUACUUUUCUCGGGCCUGGGAUCUCGGAAUUUGAUUCCGGGCAUAUGCCCAAGUCCCAUAUUUUUCUGCGGACCUUCCGAGACCGUCAAAUCACGUGUUCUUUUACCAAAAAUGUUGACCAAAGUCAACUUAUCAUUAUAAAUAUCAAAAUUCUUCAAAGUUUUCACUUAAUUCAUAUAUAUCAAGAAAAACAAUUUUCCGGCUUUGCGCCCGGAUUGCGCACGCAAAUCGAGACAUCUAAUAGUGAGCUUUUCAAGACCUCUAAUGUCGAAAUGACUAAUAAAACCAAUUAUGACCCUUUGGGUCGUCACAUUCUCCACCUCUCAAACAAGUGAUGAACCUUCUUACCCUCUCUCUAUCGGUAGGGAGUAUGACAAUGGCAUGCCGAUCUAGAUCAAUAAACCGGGUCUCAUACUGUGUAACUGACAUCGAGCCCUGCUGAAGGCGCUCAAACUGCCUGCGAAGAGCCUCCAUCUGAGUCACUGGGAGAAACUUCUCCAAAAAUAAUCCUGCAAACUGGUCUCAAGUCAAAGAUGGCGACCCUGCUUGUUUGGAUAAAUAGUAGUCUCUCCACCAAGUCUUCGCGGAUCUAGAUAGACGAAAAGUGGCAAUGUCAACACCAUUGGUCUCCACAAUACCCGUAGUCCGGAGGACCUCAUGGCAGCUAUAUAUGAAGUCCUAGGGAUCCUCUGAAUAAGUACCACUGAAUGUAGUGGUAAAGAGUUUGGUGAAUUUGUCCAAUCUCCAUAAAGCAUCGGCGGACAUGGCAGCACCCUCACCAAACUGAGUCACUAUGCCUGGCUGAACUUCCAUAACUGGCUGAACCACUGGAACUUUAACCUGGGGAGCUAGUGGCUCCGAAGUGCCUGUAGCAGUAGUCUGAUUAUCUCCUCCAGCCUGAGAAGUGCUUGGCAAUGCUGGAAGCAAACCCGCUCUAGAAAUACCCUCCGUAAAACCCACUAGAUCAGGUGGGGCCGGAACCUCCUCAGCAUUAAUCUGAGGCUCCGCCACCGGUGCUGCUGCUCGGGGCUGAGAUUUGCCCCUACCUCGGCCUCUAGGAUGACUUCGACCUCGGCCUCUAGGACGACCUCGACCUCGGCCUCUGCCCCUAGCUAGAGCUGCUACUAGGGCCUCGGGAUUUUGAUCAUUAGAUGAGGAAGUGCGUGUUCUUGCCAUCUAUGGAAGAUUAGAGUAGAAAUUUAAUUAGCAUUUGAAGAACAAUUUUGCACGAUAUGAAAGAAUGAAAGUGAAAUUUUCCUAACUCUGUAGCCUCUGGGGGAAAAAUACAGACGUCUCUGUACCGAUCACUUAGACUCUACUAAGUUUGUUCGUGAGUUGUGAGACCUAUGCAGCCUCAGGCUCUGAUACCAACUUGUCACGACCCGAAUUUCCCACCAUCGGGGUCAUGAUGGCGCCUACUAAUAGGAGCUAGGCAAGCCAACUCAAACUUAUGUUUCCAUUUUUUAACAAUUCUUAUUCAAACCUGUUAUCAACAAUAUUAAAAUUUAAGCGGAAUAAAUAAAUUUAGUGGAAGACUUAACAAAUUUUACAAGAUGCGAUACUGAAAUUCCAACGUAAAACACUACCCAAGAACUGGUGUCACAAUACUCACGAACUUCUAAGAAUAAUACACAUAGCCGUCUGAAAGAAAUAAAAUAUUGUUUGUCUCGAAUAUAUGAGAUAGCAUACUGAA